rnacentral:tRNA from 1 species
GGGGCGUUAGCUCAAUUGGUAGAGCACUGCCUUUGCAAGGCAGGGGUUGUCGGUUCGAGUCCGAUACGCUCCA